GGAGAGUGCCCCUUCGGGGGUGACUCGAGUGGCGAACGGGGGAGUAACACGUGGGUGAUCUGCCCUGCACUUUGGGAUAAGCCUGGGAAACUGGGUCUAAUACCGGAUAAGACCAUGGACUUCACGGUUUGUGGUGGAAAGCUUUUGCGGUGUGGGAUGGGCCCGCGGCCUAUCAGCUUGUUGGUGGGGUAAUGGCCUACCAAGGCGACGACGGGUAGCCGGCCUGAGAGGGUGUCCGGCCACACUGGGACUGAGAUACGGCCCAGACUCCUACGGGAGGCAGCAGUGGGGAAUAUUGCACAAUGGGCGCAAGCCUGAUGCAGCGACGCCGCGUGGGGGAUGACGGCCUUCGGGUUGUAAACCUCUUUCAGUACCGACGAAGCGCAAGUGACGGUAGGUACAGAAGAAGCACCGGCCAACUACGUGCCAGCAGCCGCGGUAAUACGUAGGGUGCGAGCGUUGUCCGGAAUUACUGGGCGUAAAGAGCUCGUAGGUGGUUUGUCGCGUUGUCCGUGAAAUCCCACGGCUUAACUGUGGGCGUGCGGGCGAUACGGGCAGACUGGAGUACUGCAGGGGAGACUGGAAUUCCUGGUGUAGCGGUGGAAUGCGCAGAUAUCAGGAGGAACACCGGUGGCGAAAGGCGGGUCUCUGGGCAGUAACUGACGCUGAGGAGCGAAAGCGUGGGGAGCGAACAGGAUUAGAUACCCUGGUAGUCCACGCCGUAACGGUGGGUACUAGGUGUGGGUUUCCUUCCUUGGGAUCCGUGCCGUAUCUAACGCAUUAAUUACCCCGCCUGGGGAGUACGGCCGCAAGGCUAAAACUCAGAGGAAUUUAUCGGG
rnacentral:rRNA from 1 species